GUUGGUUCCAAGUCUUUGCUAUUGUGAAUAGUGCUGCAGUAAACAUACGUGUGCAUGUGUCUUUAUAACAGAGCAAUUUGUAAUCCUUUGGAUAUAUACCCAGUAAUGGGAUUGCUGGGUCAAAUGGAAUUUCUAUUUCUACGUCCUU